rnacentral:rRNA from 1 species
AAGCUAAACGUAGAUGGAGCACAGUGGGUGGUCAAUGAGUAUUUUGACGAGCACAACCACCAACUGAUAAAGAAGUUCGACCUGGUGAAAUUUCUGACUGCCCACAGAGGGUUCACCCCCGUCGAAAGGCAAUUCGUAAAGCUGCUACAUGAUUGUAACGUCGGUCCAUCGAGAAUGGUGCAGAUACUAUCUCUCAUCCACAGCAAAAAGGGGACUCUGAGUAGCAUGCCGUACAUACCAGCUGACGUCACAAACCUACGGGCAAGGUACCGUAGAGAGAGCAAGUUGGCAGACAUAGAGGCCACAAUUGCCUACUUCGAUGAGAAAGCCAAAGAAGAUGCAGAUUUCUUCUACAGGAUAAGGUUGGACGAUGAGGACCGUGUCAGGAACAUGUAUUGGGUGGAUGGUGCUGCAAGGAGAGCCUACAAACAUUUCCGAGAUUGCAUUUCAUUUGACGCGACGUACCUCACCAACAUGUACAAGAUGCCGUGCGCUCCGUUGAUAGGGAUAAAUAACCACAAUCAGUCGUUGCAGUUCGGCUGCGGGCUCGUCCGGAACGAAGACACGGAUGGGUACGUUUGGCUGUUCAAGACCUUCUUGGAGUGCAUGGAUGGACUUGCUCCAAUGAACAUAAUAACGGACCAGGAUUUCAGCAUGCGUGCAAGCAUAGAGGAGGUCUUUCCGUUGGCAGUGCACAGGCACUAUAGGUGGCACAUUAUAAAGAAGGUUGAGGAGAUGCUAGAGUUUGAAAGGAGCUGGAUGGCCAUGACUGAAACACAUCAAGUCCAAGACAACGAGACUCUUCUAAGCCUGUGGGAGAAGCGAAUGUACUGGGUGUCGGCCUACUUCAUGCAGUGCUUCUUCCCCUUUCUGCAGACUACGCAGCGCAGUGAGGGAUUCAAUGCAGUUUUGAAGCGGUACGUCAGUCCUGGCAACUCAUUGCUACAGUUUGCCAAGCAGUACACAGCUUUGCAACAAAAAAUUCUGGGAUCUGAGCUGCAGCAAGAAGCGAACACCGCGCUAAAGCAGCCAAAAUUGCUAACGUACUUACCGAUGGAGAGGCAAAUGAGCAAGAUAUACACCAACAAGAUCUUUAACAACCCGGACAAAGGAAGGAACUACUUCGUCACAGCCUCGAUAGGCGAAGGCGAGUUCUACUGCCAAUGCUGCAAGUUCGAACGGGACGGCAUUGUGUGCUGUCACAUACUAAAAGUAAUGGACGUGAACGCUGUGACACGGAUGCCCCGACAUUUCAUAAGGCGGCGAUGGACUUCGCACGCUGCGAUGCGUUGGCGCCGCAAACAACACACGCAGUUCUGGCUGUGCAUGACGAGAGACCAGAGUCAACCAUGGAAGCCGUGA